rnacentral:lncRNA from 1 species
CUAAGAACUUUAACUCCUUCUCUUUGAAAUCUACAAGGGAUUUUCUACAACCUCAAAAUAUUUCUUAGCUCCUAACAACUUUGUUGCCCCCUUUUUCUUUCUUUUCUCCUUUUUUUUUUCUUUUCUUUUUCUUAUUUUGUUUUUUUUUCUUCUUUUUUUUUUAGGUGGGAGCCAAAACUUUCAUAACAUGAGCUAGAGGUUUAUCUACUUAUCCCAAUAAGACAAUUCACUUAAACACAAAGAGUCAUUUCU